AAUGAACGCUGGCGGCGUGCCUAAUACAUGCAAGUCGAGCGAACGGACGAGAAGCUUGCUUUUCUGAUGUUAGCGGCGGACGGAUGAGUAACACGUGGAUAACCUACCUAUAAGACUUGGAUAACUUCGGGAAACCAGAUCUACUACCGGAUCAUAUUUUCUACCGCAUGGUUCAAAAGUGAAAGACGGUCUUGCUGUCACUUAUAGAUGGAUCCGCGCUGCAUUAGCUAGUUGGUAAGGUAACGGCUUACCAAGGCAACGAUGCAUAGCCGACCUGAGAGGGUGAUCAGCCACACUGGAACUGAGACACGGUCCAGACUCCUACGGGAGGCAGCAGUAGGGAAUCUUCCGCAAUGGGCGAAAGCCUGACGGAGCAACGCCGCGUGAGUGAUGAAGGUCUUCGGAUCGUAAAACUCUGUUAUUAGGGAAGAAAAGAUGUGUAUGUAACUGUGCACAUCUUGACGGUACCUAAUGAGAAAGCCACGGCUAACUACGUG
rnacentral:rRNA from 1 species